rnacentral:rRNA from 1 species
ACGUAUGGUGCAAGCGUUAUCCGGAUUUACUGGGUGUAAAGGGUGCGUAGGUGGUAUGGCAAGUCAGAAGUGAAAGGCUGGGGCUCAACCCCGGGACUGCUUUUGAAACUGUCAAACUAGAGUACAGGAGAGGAAAGCGGAAUUCCUAGUGUAGCGGUGAAAUGCGUAGAUAUUAGGAGGAACACCAGUGGCGAAGGCGGCUUUCUGGACUGAAACUGACACUGAGGCACGAAAGCGUGGGGAGCAAACAG